rnacentral:misc_RNA from 1 species
UACGGAGGGUGCGAGCGUUAAUCGGAAUUACUGGGCGUAAAGCGUACGUAGGCGGUUAGAUUAGUCGGAUGUGAAAGCCCCGGGCUUAACCUGGGAAUUGCAUUCGAUACUGUCUAGCUAGAGUGUGGAAGAGGGAAGUGGAAUUCCAGGUGUAGCGGUGAAAUGCGUAGAUAUCUGGAGGAACAUCAGUGGCGAAGGCGACUUCCUGGUCCAACACUGACGCUGAGGUACGAAAGCGUGGGGAGCAAACAGG